GCCGAGUGGUAAUGCAGGCGGCCGCAGACUUUUUGGUCGGCGGUUCGAAUCCUGGU
rnacentral:tRNA from 16 species